rnacentral:rRNA from 1 species
UACGGAGGAUCCAAGCGUUAUCCGGAUUCACUGGGUUUAAAGGGCGCGUAGGUGGAAUGACAAGUCAGUGGUGAAAACCUGCAGCUUAACUGUAGAACUGCCAUUGAUACUGUUGUUCUUGAGUACAUUUGAUGUGAGCGGAAUGUGUCGUGUAGCGGUGAAAUGCUUAGAUAUGACACAGAACACCAAUUGCGAAGGCAGCUCACAAAACUGUAACUGACACUGAGGCACGAAAGCGUGGGGAUCAAACAGG